CAACCCUUUCUGUGAGGAAAAUUUUCCUAAUACCCAAUCUAAACCCCCCUGGCACAACUUGAGGUCCUUUCUUGUUUUCCUAUCGCUUGUUAUUUGGGAUAAGGGACCAACUCCCACCUCAGUAAAACCCCUUCAGGUAGCUGUAGAAAGCGAUAAGGUCCCCCCUGAGCCUCCUGUUUUCUGGGCUAAACAACUCCAGUGAGGUUAUUUCUAGCAAUGUUUUCUUUCCCUUUCAGAAACCAUGAGGAGACAAUACCACAAAAGUAUUUGAGAUCCAUGUGAACCUUGUUUAUCCACUGUGGAUUGGGAUUUACAUUCCAGGGGUAUAAUGAACCCAGAGAUGCAAAGAUGUGGGCGCACAACGUUAUUAAACCCUUGAAGAUUAUCCCAGUCUCACUCAAUAACAGAACCUUUCCUUAAUGACUCUGGCAUGGAUAUGAACUAUAGCCUUUAACAGAGCUCAAUGCCAACAGAAACCAGGAACUCUGCCGAAGCUUUAUCAUUUUUCUUCAGUGGAGGGGGAAAGUGUUUAUCUGGGAAGCAUUUCACAUCACAGACAAUAGGAAACUGUUCAGCUUUCCACAAACAGGCUGGUGUGCAGCUUCCAAGCACUCUCCAAGGAAAACUUUGGAACACUGGCCACGUCUUUCCAGCUUGGAUUUAAUGUAAAUAGGACCAAAUGUUUUCUGGCUGAAGUGACAAAAGUUAUGCACACGGAACUUGUGCAUUGUAAAGAGCUCCCUGCAAGCUGAAUUACUACACUCAUGCUGAAUCAAGCAGCUCUACUGAUUGCAGCACAGCCCAGAGACCUCUUGUUGAAGGAAAAGAAGUCAGCUCUGGAUGUGGAAAAGCUCUCUGUCCUAACGUGUGAGGUCUCUUUGCCUGACAACGUGAUAGUGAAGGAGAGGGUGCUAGUGAUGGGAGUACAAUCCCCAGGCUCAGAUCAAGUGAAAGAUCCAAAGGCUUACAAGAGGUUUAAGAAGAACUGCAGAAUCCCAAUGGGGAGAUUAUUCCACCCACAUUAAAAAAGAAGGAUGCAUUUUCCCCUGUAUCAGAAGAGAUGGGAUCCAGAAUCUACCUUUCUCAGUUCUUUUUUCCUCAAUUAAUUGUUUCCAAUUAAAGUGUUACAGCUCUUGUAAUUUUUUUUUUCACCUGUGUAUUUUCUAAAUGAAUGUUUACUUAUUUCACAAUAAC
rnacentral:lncRNA from 1 species